rnacentral:rRNA from 1 species
UACGUAGGGUGCAAGCGUUGUCCGGAAUUAUUGGGCGUAAAGAGCUCGUAGGCGGUUUGUCGCGUCUGCUGUGAAAACUCAGGGCUUAACUCUGAGCUUGCAGUGGGUACGGGCAGACUAGAGUGCGGUAGGGGAGACUGGAAUUUACGGUGUAGCGGUGAAAUGCGUAGAUAUCGUAAGGAAGACCAGUGGCGAAGGCGGGUCUCUGGACAGUUCCUGACGCUGAGGCACGAAGGCCAGGGGAGCAAACGGG